CAAUAUCAUCUGCUACAAUUGUCAAGGUCAUGGUCAUAUGGCUAAACAAUGUCCGUCACCAAAAACUUCAUCCACCACUACCAACAAACCGAUCUCCAAUUAUACCUCUGCAAGUAACAAUCCAAUGCAACAUUGGACAAUAGAUCCAGGAGCGAAUUAUCACAUCACUGCAGACCGUCGCAACAUUCAAAUUCCUCAGUCUUAUCAUAGUCCUAAUUCAAUUAUCCUUGGCAAUGG
rnacentral:misc_RNA from 1 species